GGCAAGAUGGCCGAGCGGUCUAAGGCGCCACGUUAAGGUGUUACCUUGAUUACAAUCUGUUUCGCAUGGAUUCCGUGGUCCGAAAGGGCGUGGGUUCGAAUCCCACUCUUGUCA